UACGUAGGGUCCGAGCGUUGUCCGGAAUUACUGGGCGUAAAGAGCUCGUAGGUGGUUUGUCGCGUUGUUCGUGAAAACUCACAGCUCAACUGUGGGCGUGCGGGCGAUACGGGCAGACUUGAGUACUGCAGGGGAGACUGGAAUUCCUGGUGUAGCGGUGGAAUGCGCAGAUAUCAGGAGGAACACCGGUGGCGAAGGCGGGUCUCUGGGCAGUAACUGACGCUGAGGAGCGAAAGCCGUGGGGAGCGAACAGG
rnacentral:rRNA from 1 species